AUUUAAAAUUAAUUUAAUUUUUUUUAGUUAAAUUUAAAAUUUAAAUAAAGAUAUAGAAAUUAAAAUUUUUUAGUAUUAAUUGGAAAAAAAAGUUAUAAUUUUUUAAUUGUAAGAGUAUUUUGAAAUUAAAAAAAGAAAAUUUUGUUUAUUGUACCUUUUGUAUCAGGGAUUAUUAAAAUUAAAUAUUAAAAUUAAUAUAUCUCGAAUUAAAAAGAGCUAAUUUAAUAUUAUAGUUAAUGUAGAAUAAUUAUUAUAAAUUUUAAAUUUGAAGUGAAAUGUUAAACGAUUUUUAAGAUAUCUAGUUUUUUAAUAUAAAAAUUUAAUUUUUUUAUAAAUUAGAUUAUUAAUAAUUAAAGAUUUUUAAUUGUUUUAUAAAGAAGAAUUUAUGGGAUUAUCUAUAAAUUUAAAUUAAAUGAUAAAUUUAAAAUUUAAAAUUUAGAAAUUAAAAUUUUUAAAAUUUAAAAGUUUUUAAUAAUUUAUUAUUUAAAGGGUAAUUUGAUUUUUAAGGUUAUUAAUUUAUUAUUAAAAUAAAUUUAUAAAUUUUUUAUAAAUUAAAAUAAUGAUAAUAUUAGUAUAAAUAAAUUGUUAAAUUAAUUAAAUUAUAAAAUUAAUUUAAGGAAUUAAGCAAAUUUUAAAAUUCACUUGUUUAUCAAAAACAUGUUUUUUUGAAAUUAAUAAAAAAUUUUCUCUGCCCAAUGAUAAAUUAAAUGGCCGCGGUAUUUUGACUGUGCAAAGGUAGCAUAAUAAAUAGUUUUUUAAUUGAAGACUAGAAUGAAUGAGAGGAUGAAAUUUUAACUGUCUCAAUUUAAUUAUAAAAUUUUAUUUUAAGUUAAAAUUCUUAAAUAAAUUUAAGGGACGAGAAGACCCUAUAGAAUUUAAAAAUUAAAUUUAAUUUUAGAGUUAAUAUUAUAUUGAAAUUAUUUAAAGAUUUUUUUAUUGGGAUGAUAUUUAAAUUUAAAUAACUUAAAAUUAUUAAAUUCAAUGAUUAAUGAAUUUAAGAAUAAAUUUAAUAAAUAAAAGAUAAAAUUACCUUAGGGAUAACAGCGUAAUAAAUUUUUAAAGUUCAAAUUAAAAAAUUUGAUUGCGACCUCGAUGUUGAAUUAAAAUAAAAUUUAAGUGGAGAAGC
rnacentral:rRNA from 1 species